UACAGAGGGGGCAAGCGUUGUUCGGAAUUACUGGGCGUAAAGGGCGCGUAGGCGGCCCGCUAAGUCGAACGUGAAAUCCCCGAGCUCAACUCGGGAACUGCGUCCGAUACUGGUGGGCUUGAAUCCGGGAGAGGGAUGCGGAAUUCCAGGUGUAGCGGUGAAAUGCGUAGAUAUCUGGAGGAACACCGGUGGCGAAGGCGGCAUCCUGGACCAACACUGACACUGAUGAGCGAAAGCCAGGGGAGCAAACGGG
rnacentral:rRNA from 1 species